rnacentral:rRNA from 1 species
CUAAGGCCGAUGGCGACCGGCGCACGGGUGAGUAACACGUAUCCAACCUGCCGAUAACUCGGGGAUAGCCUUUCGAAAGAAAGAUUAAUACCCGAUGGUAUAAUAAAGCCGCGUGGUUUAAUUAUUAAAGAAUUUCGGUUAUCGAUGGGGAUGCGUUCCAUUAGGCAGUUGGUGAGGUAACGGCUCACCAAACCUUCGAUGGAUAGGGGUUCUGAGAGGAAGGUCCCCCACAUUGGAACUGAGACACGGUCCAA